AUUUAAAUAGUUUAAGGGUAAAAUAGUGGUUUGUGGGACCAGAGAUAUAAUGUAUUAUUUUAGAUC
rnacentral:tRNA from 1 species